rnacentral:tRNA from 1 species
GGAACGGUAGUUCAGUUGGUUAGAAUACCGGCCUGUCACGCCGGGGGUCGCGGGUUCGAGUCCCGUCCGUUCCGCCA